rnacentral:rRNA from 1 species
CCUCACCGCGUGCACUGGCAGGCCGGGUCCUUCCCCCCGGGGAGCCGCAUGCCCUUCGUUGGGCGUGUCGGGGAUCCGGGGAUUUUACUUUGAAAAAAUUAGAGUGUUCAAAGCAGGCCUUUGCUCGGAUACCACAGCAUGGAAUGAUGAAAUAGGACGUGCGGUUCUAUUUUGUUGGUUUUCAGGACCGCCGUAAUGAUUAAUAGGGACGGUCGGGGGUGUCAGUAUUCAAUUGUCAGAGGUGAAAUUCUUGGAUUUAUUGAAGACUAGCUACUGCGAAAGCAUUCACCAAGGAUGUUUUCAUUAAUCAGUGAACGAAAGCUGGGGGAUCGAAGACGAUCAGAUACCGUCGUAGUCUCAGCCGUAAACUAUGCCGACUAGGGAUCGGGCGGUGUUACUUGUUGACCCGCUCGGCACCUCGCGAGAAAUCAAAGUUUUUGGGUUCUGGGGGGAGUAUGGUCGCAAGGCUGAAACUUAAAGAAAUUGACGGAAGGGCACCACCAGGCGUUGAUUUUCGAGCCUCGCAGGGCUCUGCGCUUUACAGCAGCCCCAGAUGGGGUGGGUGGUUGUCAAAAAAAUGCUAGUCCGCCUCUACGGUGGGCAACACGCCCAAACUGCGGGGACCUCCUCGACCGCGCGGAUACCAAGCCGCCCGCCGAAAGGCGGCGGUGGCCGGGCCAACCCCCCGGGUACGGUGAGAACGCCGCGCGAUGGAAGAUCCGCAGCCUGCCCCCUAAGCCCUCGGGUACGGGGGCGGUUCAGAGACUAGAUGGGUGUGGGCGGCGAGCCCGCUUAAGAUAUAGUCCGGCCGCCCGCGAAAGCGGGCGGGUUCGACGGGAGCCUGCGGCUUAAUUUGACUCAACACGGGAAAUCUUACCAGGUCCAGACACGCGAAGGAUUGACAGAUUGAAAGUUCUUUCAUGAUUGUGUGGGUGGUGGUGCAUGGCCGUUUUUAGUUCGUGGGGUGACUUGUCUGCUUAAUUGCGAUAACGAACGAGACCCUAACCUGCUAAAUAGCCAGGCUGGCUCCGGCCGGUCGCAGGCUUCUUAGAGGGACUAUCGGCUUAAGUCGAUGGAAGUUUGGGGCAAUAACAGGU